rnacentral:rRNA from 1 species
UACGGGGGGGGCAAGCGUUGUUCGGAAUUACUGGGCGUAAAGGGCUCGUAGGUGGCCAACUAAGUCAGACGUGAAAUCCCUCGGCUUAACCGGGGAACUGCGUCUGAUACUGGAUGGCUUGAGAUUGGGAGAGGGAUGUAGAAUUCCAGGUGUAGCGGUGAAAUGCGUAGAUAUCUGGAGGAAUACCGGUGGCGAAGGCGGCAUCCUGGACCAUUACUGACGCUGAGGCGCGAAAGCUAGGGGAGCAAACGGG